rnacentral:rRNA from 1 species
GGCUCAGAACGAACGCUGGCGGCAGGUCUUAGGCAUGCAAGUCGAACGGAUGACAAGGGAGCUUGCUCCUUGAAGUCAGUGGCGCACGAGUGAGUAACGCGUGGGAAACUGCCCUUCACUGGGGAAUAACGUUUGGAAACGAACGCUAAUACCGCAUACGCCCGCAAGGGGAAAGAUUUAUCGGUGAUGGAUGUGCCCGCGUUGGAUUAGCUAGUUGGUGGGGUAAUGGCCUACCAAGGCGAUGAUCCAUAGCUGGUCUGAGAGGACGAUCAGCCACGCUGGAACUGAGACACGGUCCAGACUCCUACGGGAGGCAGCAGCUAAGAAUAUUGGGCAAUGGAGGAAACUCUGACCCAGCCAUUGCCGCGUGAAUGAAGAAGGCCUUCGGGUUGUAAAGUUCUUUUAGUCAUGAAGAUGAUGACAGUAGUGACAGAAAAAGCACCGGCUAACUUCGUGCCAGCAGCAGC